ACAAGGUUUCCGUAGGUGAACCUGCGGAAGGAUCAUUACAGUAUUCUUUUGCCAGCGCUUAAUUGCGCGGCGAAAAACCUUACACACUAUGUUUUUUUGAUUUGAAACUUUUGCUUUGGUCUGACUUAGAAAUGAGUUGGGCCAAAGGUUUUAUACUAAAACUUC
rnacentral:misc_RNA from 1 species